rnacentral:rRNA from 1 species
UACGUAGGGUGCAAGCGUUGUCCGGAUUUAUUGGGCGUAAAGAGCUCGUAGGCGGUCUGUCGCGUCGGCCGUGAAAACCUGGGGCUUAACUCUGGGCGUGCGGUCGAUACGGGCAUCACUAGAGUUCGGCAGGGGAGACUGGAAUUCCUGGUGUAGCGGUGAAAUGCGCAGAUAUCAGGAGGAACACCGGUGGCGAAGGCGGGUCUCUGGGCCGAUACUGACGCUGAGGAGCGAAAGCAUGGGUAGCGAACAGG